UCAUUUUUAUUCUUGUCAUAUCUGAUAUAAGGCUAAAACUGAACUUUUCUUCCAUAUGGGUGUGCCUUACAGAAUCUGCAAUGGGUUUAAGGACUUGGCAUAAGUGGAGCCUAAUUGAGCACAAGAGGCUGCAAUUGGUUGUUGUUGUUGUACUUUCAUUUUGUGAUCUCUACUAUAACUAUUAAUUCUGUGUGUUUCUUUGUGUAAUAUUAAGGUCUUGUUUUCUCGAUUUCUUCGUGAGUUCCCUGUAGGCGUCACAUGGAAUAUGUACUGUGAAGACUGCUUAGAUGAUUGUCAUGGACAUUCUACUUGAUGUUUCAUGGGAGAGAGGCUAUGAAACUUAAAAUCAUCUCUCCCAUACCGGUAUCCCUUAAAGAGUCUGCAACUGGAGCAAGAAAUUGACUUAAUGGGGGAGCCUAGUUGAGCAGAAGACGCUACAAUUGGUUAUUGUCGUUGUUAUUGUACUUUCAUCUGGUGAUCUCUACUACGACUCUUGAUUCUUCAUGUUUACUUGUAUAUAUUAAGAUCUUUUCCGAUACGAGUCACAUGGAAUAUGUGCUGUGAGAACUGUUAGAUGAUUGUCAUGGACAUUUUUCUUGAUUCAUUGGAGAGAGGCUAUGAAUUUCGUGGAGUUUGAACCUUUGCAUUGAACAGUUGGCCGGCCGAGGGACUCCUUCAUUGGAUGUUACAUGUCAUUACAAAUUGGAUGCAAAAUUUGUUCCAAUGAAUCGUCAUCUUUUGUAGGUUGAGAUCUUUUGUGUUUUCAUCUGUGGAUGUUACAGCGGAGAUUGCCUUGAAAUGAAGGUUACCUUUGAAACCCCUGGGGGAUAAAUAUUGUGGAAGCUGUGGCCAGAUUUAUCACGGUCAUUUUGCUUUUUGAUUUACAGGCGAGAGAUGCUAUGAAUGUACCGUGGUAUUUGAAAGUUAUGGUUGACAUUAUGAAGGAGAUGCUUUAGUUUAAACCUUUGGAUUAAUGAAUCAUGUUUGCUCUCUCGGGGAUGUACUUGUUCUGCGGUGUCCUAAGAUGUGCAAAGUAGCAUUACUGAUUUUUGUGCUUAGAAUUUCGUGUUUAUGUGUGUUCGGUAUUUAUAGUUCUAUAUUACAUGUCCACCUCUUGGAUACUUUAGA